rnacentral:rRNA from 1 species
GAGUUUGAUCCUGGCUCAGAACGAACGCUGGCGGCGUGCUUAACACAUGCAAGUCGAACGUGAUUGGAAGCUUGCUUCCAUGAAAGUGGCGCACGGGUGAGUAACGCGUGGAUAACCUGCCCUGGUAUCCGGAAUAACAUCUCGAAAGGGGUGCUAAUACCGGAUAAGCCUACGGAGCCCUCGGUCUCUGCAGGAAAAGGUGGCCUCUAUUUAUAAGCUACCGUAUCAGGAUGGGUCCGCGUACCAUUAGCUAGUUGGUGGGGUAAAGGCUCACCAAGGCGACGAUCCGUAGCUGGUCUGAGAGGACGACCAGCCACACUGGAACUGAGACACGGUCCAGACUCCUACGGGAGGCAGCAGUGGGGAAUUUUGGACAAUGGGCGCCAGCCUGAUCCAGCCAUGCCGCGUGAGUGAAGAAGGCCUUCGGGUUGUAAAGCUCUUUCAGCCGGAAAGAAAUUGCUUCUAUUAAUACUAGGAGUAGAUGACGGUACCGGAAGAAGAAGCGCCGGCUAACUACGUGCCAGCAGCCGCGGUAAUAC